rnacentral:rRNA from 1 species
UACCAGCACCCCGAGUGGUCGGGACGUUAUUGGGCCUAAAGCAUCCGUAGCCGGUUCUACAAGUCUUCCGUUAAAUCCACCUGCUUAACAGAUGGGCUGCGGAAGAUACUAUGGAGCUAGGAGGCGGGAGAGGCAAGCGGUACUCGAUGGGUAGGGGUAAAAUCCGUUGAUCCAUUGAAGACCACCAGUGGCGAAGGCGGCUUGCCAGAACGCGCUCGACGGUGAGGGAUGAAAGCUGGGGGAGCAAACCGG